AUUGAACGCUGGCGGCAGGCCUAACACAUGCAAGUCGAGCGGAUGAAGGGAGCUUGCUCCUGGAUUCAGCGGCGGACGGGUGAGUAAUGCCUAGGAAUCUGCCUGGUAGUGGGGGAUAACGUCCGGAAACGGGCGCUAAUACCGCAUACGUCCUGAGGGAGAAAGGGGGGGAUCUUCGGACCUCACGCUAUCAGAUGAGCCUAGGCCGGAUUAGCUAGUUGGUGGGGUAAAGGCUUACCAAGGCGACGAUCCGUAACUGGUCUGAGAGGAUGAUCAGUCACACUGGAACUGAGACACGGUCCAGACUCCUACGGGAGGCAGCAGUGGGGAAUCUUGGACAAUGGGCGAAAGCCUGAUCCAGCCAUGCCGCGUGUGUGAAGAAGGUCUUCGGAUUGUAAAGCACUUUAAGUUGGGAGGAAGAGAAGUAAGUUAAUACGUUGAUGUUUUGACGUUACCAACAGAAUAAGCACCGGCUAACUUCGUG
rnacentral:rRNA from 1 species